CAGCCACAGCACUGCAGAGCCUGUAGACAGAUAUACAACCCAAGCCUUUCCCCCCCCAUCUGCAUAUACAGUCAGGGGAGAGGUGCCCAGAUGACAGAUAAUGAUGUGCGAGGGCCUGCAGAGACUCGUCCAAGGGCUCCCCCUUCAGUGAGGCAACUGGUGCAUCGUCUGAAUCAUCCGAGGAUGUGGUGAGCCCACUCAGGGGCUGCCUCUGGCUGCUUCAGAUGUCCACAGACACCCGACGCUGUGCAUCCAGGAGGUUUGAUUCAAUUAUGCUUGUUCCCCCCGAAACAUACCAACAGAUGUUUUCAACUAGCAGAUUCUUAGUGUGGAAAAUGAAACCUAUCAUCAGAUUCUAUGACCUUCAUCCAAAGAAGGGUAGAGGUGCACUGGAUGAUGACAAGAGGACAGGGCCGUUUUAGUUGUGGCUCCCCAUUUGUGGAAUGCUGUUCCCCAGUGAGGUCCACCGGGUGGUGCCUUCACUGACAUCUUUUCAGCACCAGAGGGAUGGCAUGUGGCUCUGAUGGAGAGAUUUCCCAGCAGGAGUCUCGGAGAGAGCUCGCAAAUCAAGCCAAGGAGGAGGGGGAACCAUUAGAAUAUGAAAAGAUAAUCAGUAAGUUGAACGGCAAAUGAGAAAUAAAAAUGAAACUGCUGCAAAGGCUUUUUAAAAAAGAAAAAGUCUUCAAGAUAUGCCUGAAAGUCAGAAGCAAACAGGGUUGCCACAGAAUCUCUGCUGGAAGCACAUUCCACAGCACAGGACCAGCGAUGCUGAACACCCUACUUCUGGUGGAGACCAGUCGGACUCCUGUAACACAGGGGACAGCUAAUGGAUGAUUUCACUGAUAGAGCCAGGAUAUAACGGCUCAGGCCAUCCUUCAGGUAUCCUUUUCAUUGAGCAUGCAUGAAUAUUUGUGCUCAUGAUGCCAUCAGGAGAGUUAUACGCAGUCCUGUUUUCAACACCGUUUGUGCCUUCAAAUGUUUUGGGGCAGACAUACUGCUUUGCUCCCAACCCUGCACCUUCCUGCUGAAACUCUGUACCUUUUUAAUAUCUUAAAUCUUCCAGUUAAUUUUGUUUGCCCUGCUUUGGUCUGUGCGCAAGAGUUCCCCUCUAGAUGCCAACAAGGCAAUAACAUUGGGGAAACAUCGCAGAACAACUAACAAAGAGGAAUGAUGUGUGGACAAUCCAGUAUGAACCCACCACAUCAAUGACAUGUCACAGAACACACCUGCAAAAAAAUGUACCAGACCGGAAAAGCUCUCUCUAGGUUAGUCCUACUCAGAGUAGACCCAUUGACAAUAACAGAGAUGGCUUACUUAGGUCUACUAAUUUCAGCAAGUCUGCUCCAAGUGGAACUAGGCUGGAUACAAUCCUUUGCAUUUGCUGCAACAGAUUAACAUGGUUUAGGAUUUGUGGGAUAUAUGACUGACCUCUUCCGCUAUACUUCAUUUUCACCAAAGAAGUUGAUGAGGAUCAGCGACAACCACAAGACGACAGGUUCUUCAUUCCAAGGUUCUCAAAAUCUGUUUUAGCGGUUUAGAUAUCACCCUUUGUGGAAGCCACAGAGUGGUUUCCAACAAACCAGACAGAUUUUUAAGAAUGCCUUAAAUUGAUUAGACAUAGUCCUUUCAAGACACAGUGGGUCAGUGGCGGCCGAUGGUGCCAUGUCAGUGGGGCAGUCGAAUCCACUCCAGGUUUUAGCCUGAACUUUCAAAACCCAGAGUGGAUUCUCCUGCCCCACUGACAUGGAGCCACCAGCACUGGGAGGUAUUCAAUGCUAAUCCUAUUCAGAGUAGGCCCACUGGUGGUAACAGACAUGACUAACUUAGGUUCAUUCAUUUCAGCGUCCCUCCUCCAAGCAGGACCAGCACUGAAUACCACCCACAGGAUUUCAUCCAGCCAAGUUCUAUUCACAGUAGAGCCAUUAAUAUUCAUGGCUCUUUAAGUUAGUAAUGCCCAUUGUUUUCAAUGGGUCUGCUUUGAGGAGGGAUAGGAGUGGACGGCUCAUGAUGAUGACCUGGUGCCCUCUAGAUGAUUUGGACUACAACUCCCAUCAGCCCCAGCCAUCAUGUUCCAUUGCAUUUAUAUCUCUGAGCAGAAGUGAAAUUGUCCACGGUCGUGGGGGGUCUUAGAUCCUUUACUUUUUUAGGAGCAGGGUCCCUAUAUCUCCAGCAUGCUAUGAGCCAAUCAGCUUGAACGGGGAGUGUGUUAGACACUGAGAAGAGUCUUCUAGCAUGCUUCCUUGUCCUUUCCUGCUGAUUGGAGCCAGCCAGAGUGAAAGGAGGUGAGUCAGCCACUGCAAAGACUCUCCUCAGUAGCUAACACACUCUUUCAUGCUUACCGGCUUCUAGGAGUGUCUGUUGUUGUCAGAAAAGGCAUGAAUAAAGAUCUCAUUCUCAACCCCGCAGUAAAAAAAGGGGGGGUGAGGGACAGUGGCUGUGACUAACAUGAAGGGACUCUGCACUUCUGAAUUAGCCACUACUCUACUGUCUCUGAGAGUUGUUAGGAGACUCCCCCAUCUACCAUUCUCAGAAUUCCCUGGGAAGACGGAUUGAUAGUUAAACCACUCUGGGAACUGCAGCUCCGUGAGGGGAAUUAGGAAUCUCCUAACAUUCUCAGCGCCCUUAACAAACUACAGUUCCCAGGAUUCUUUGGCAGAAGCCAGGACUUGUGAAAAUGGAAUCAUACUGGUUUUCCCCACAUGCUUCAUUAAUUUUAAUUAAAAUGGAAUGAUCUUCCUGACGAGGUGCGCCUGGCGCCAACACUGUUAUCUUUUUGGCGCCAGGUCACGACUUUCCUCUUCUCCCAAGCAUUUUAGCAUGUGUUUUUUAAGAAAUGUGUUUUUAAA